rnacentral:lncRNA from 1 species
AGACAGGAAAUAAGCUUUCCUGCUUGAGUAGGAAAUGCAGGCAACUUGAACUCACAAGAAAGAAGUCAGAAAGUGUACUACUCCCUAUAAAAAGGGGAAGACUUGUGGAAAAUACACCAUUUUUUGCCUGUCUCAGUGAAAGCUAGAAAGCAAAUCUCUUCACACUUCUUGAGAGAGAAGGUUGUGUCCAGACUUGAAAAUUAAGGAAGUCCCACAGCCUUUCUGAGCUUUACACUGGGAGGAAAAUGAACUGCCUGAGCAGAGGAUGAAUGUUGUCUUGGGUCACCAUCAAGAUCUUGACCUGCCUAACUGAUGUGACUCAGGGAAAGAGGGGGAAACUGAGACGGGCGAUCAGCAUGCGUGCAGGGAGGAAGGUGAUCCCAGCCCGAAGUAAGUGGGCUCACCCAGCGCCAUAGAGAGAAGCAUACAGGUGGGGGUUGUUUAUUGUAGCAUUCAGCCGUAGGUAGAGGAUUUAACGCUGACCAGCUUGCUACGAACAUAAUAUAUUAGCCUUGUAUUUAUUUAUUGCGGGACCCUUUAGUUUUAUUUAUUGACUGUCAUUCCCUGCUGUACUGCAGGCAAUGCUGUCACUGUAUUUUCUUAAAACUUUCACGAUAAAUUUGUAAACAUAAAAUAUUCCAGCUGUCACGUAUUUUUCUCCUGUGUUUUCCAGACACUUUGGCUUUUGUAGAAGUAAUGUCGGUUGUUUACUUGAUUCUGACUCUGAAAAAAAAAACCCUAGGUACUUUCUAGUUUCAGAUGUUUUGUGUGAUUGUAAAACAGAAAGAAACCAGUUUUGACUUGGAGAGCGAGCUACUGCAAACAAUCUGUUGCUAAUAUAGUCUAAUUGCUAGUGAUAUUUUGAGAAAACAAUUAAAUUGGAAGUGGGGUUACUUUGGUGUUUAUUGUCUGUGACAGCUUCUUUUGGAAACAGACUCUGAGAGCUGCCGAGCUGAGGCUGCGAUGAUGUGCAAAUAAUACGUAUCAUAAAUACAGCGCCAGCCGAGACGGGGGGAGUUGGAGACCCAGGAAUGUCGAGGCAGGCAACGAGAUGUCACCUUGGCAGAGGUGGGCAUCGUCCUGUGUUCAUGCCCUGGGGCAUCACUGCCGUCCUUCCUCUGUGCUAGGACCCUGAGGACACUUGGCUGCCUGCUGGUC